rnacentral:rRNA from 1 species
UGGGGAAUAUUGGACAAUGGGCGGAAGCCUGAUCCAGCCAUGCCGCGUGUGUGAAGAAGGCCUUUUGGUUGUAAAGCACUUUACGCGAGGAGGAGGUUCUUCUAGUUAAUACCUAGGAUGAGUGGACGUUACUCGCAGAAUAAGCACCGGCUAACUCUGUGCCAGCAGCCGCGGUAAUACAGAGGGUGCGAGCGUUAAUCGGAUUUACUGGGCGUAAAGCGUGCGUAGGCGGCUGAUUAAGUCGGAUGUGAAAUCCCUGAGCUUAACUUGGGAAAUGCAUUCGAUACUGGUUAGCUAGAGUGUAGGAGAGGAUGGUAGAAUUCCAGGUGUAGCGGUGAAAUGCGUAGAGAUCUGGAGGAAUACCGAUGGCGAAGGCAGCCAUCUGGCCUAACACUGACGCUGAGGUACGAAAGCAAGGGGAGCAAACAGG